CCGGCCGCGUACACAAGCUCGCCUCGCACCAGAAACCCGCGAAUCAAUCCCGAAUCCCGAUCGACCGGCGGCGCGGGAGGCGAUGCCGGACAAGGCGGUGGACGACGUCAUGGAGGCCGCGGUGGGGGCCCACUUCAGCGGCCUCCGCCUCGAGGCGCUGCGCCUCUCCACCUCUGCGCCCUCUUCCCCUUCCUCCUCCCCCGCCGCCGCGGCGCACACGCACUCCAACGGAGCCGUCUACGCCAACGGCACCACCGAGCUUCCCUCUCCUGCCGCUGCCCGGCAGCCAUUCGUCAUCGGGGUUUCUGGAGGGACGGCGUCGGGGAAGACGACGGUGUGCGACAUGAUCAUCCAGCAGCUGCACGACCACCGUGUCGUGCUCGUUAACCAGGAUUCGUUUUACCGUGGCCUUACUGCUGAAGAGUCUGCACAUGCACAAGACUAUAAUUUUGAUCACCCUGAUGCAUUUGAUACAGAGCAACUUCUAGAAUGCAUGGGGCAGCUGAAAUGUGCUCAACCUGUAAAUGUUCCUAUAUAUGAUUUCAAGAAGCAUCGACGGUGUUCUGAAAGCUUUAGAAAGGUCAAUGCAUCAGAUGUCAUUAUUUUGGAGGGCAUUUUAGUGUUCCAUGACCAGAGAGUUCGCAAUCUGAUGGACAUGAAAAUUUUUGUAGACACAGAUGCUGACAUUAGGCUUGCUCGACGAAUCAGACGUGAUACAGUUGAAAGAGGAAGAGAUAUCAGCUCCGUGCUUGACCAAUAUGGGAGGUUUGUGAAGCCAGCGUUCGAUGAUUUUGUUUUGCCUUCAAAGAAGUAUGCUGACGUGAUCAUUCCUCGAGGUGGUGAUAACCAUGUAGCAGUUGAUCUGAUUGUUCAACAUAUCCGUACAAAACUUGGUCAGCAUGACUUGUGCAAAAUCUAUCCAAAUGUUCAUGUUGUUCAAUCAACUUUUCAGAUCCGAGGAAUGCAUACUCUUAUCCGUGAUAGGGACAUCACCACACCUGACUUUGUAUUUUAUUCAGAUCGAUUGAUCCGUUUGGUAGUGGAGCAUGGUCUUGGACAUUUGCCAUUUACAGAAAAGCAGGUUAUUACCCCAACAGGAUCUGUUUAUAUGGGAGUUGACUUUUGUAAGAAGCUCUGUGGAGUCUCUAUUGUGCGAAGUGGUGAGAGUAUGGAGAACGCAUUGCGUGCUUGUUGUAAAGGAAUAAAAAUUGGGAAAAUUCUAAUUCAUCGUGUUGGAGACAAUGGACAACAGAGGGAGUAUGCUUAAAAUGAUCGAGUUAAUCACGAUGGAUAACUAUUAUAAACUUUCUGCAUCUAGCUUGUUUAUCACAAACUGCCCAUGGAUAUUGCUGAACGACAUGUUCUACUUUUGGAUCCGGUGCUUGGUACAGGCAACUCAGUAGCCCAAGCAAUUGACCUUCUUAUAAGAAAAGGUGUUCCUGAGGAUCGGAUCAUUUUUCUCAAUCUCAUCUCGGCUCCUGAAGGGAUUCAGUGUAUCUGCAAGCGAUUUCCUUCGCUGAAGAUUGUUACAUCUGAAAUCGAUUAUGGUCUGAACGAGGAAUUCAGGGUGAUCCCAGGACUGGGAGAAUAUGGCGACCGCUACUUCGGCACAGACAAUUGAUGGAUCAUACCACUCUAUGGCUGUGUGAAGAUCUCACUUGGUCCCUGGAUAGGGAUGGUAUCUUGCAAGUAAUAUUUAAUAUGGAGGCGUAAUUGUGUUUAAUAGUCGGCAUGCCUUAGUAACAUGUAGAACCUUCUGCAUAAAGCUUGACCAAGGACAGCGGGAUGCUAGAGAAGGACCUGUGAACGGAGAACGUGGUGUGUGUUUUGUCUUGUACGGGUGCAGAAACAUUGAUGUUUUCAAAUAAGUGUGUUUGAUCCAAAUACUUUACGGUGAAGUCAUGAGAUUAAAUCUGCAAAGCACUUUAACUC